UUAAUUGAAGCCAAAUAGAGGCACUUUAGUGUUAAUAAAGUAAUUGAAUUUUAAUUCCAAUUAAA
rnacentral:tRNA from 1 species